rnacentral:rRNA from 1 species
UACGUAGGGGGCAAGCGUUGUCCGGAUUUAUUGGGCGUAAAGAGCGUGUAGGCGGCCAGACAAGUCUGCUGUGAAAACUCGAGGCUCAACCUCGAGCUGUCGGUGGAAACUGUCUGGCUAGAGUCCGGAAGAGGAGAGUGGAAUUCCUGGUGUAGCGGUGAAAUGCGCAGAUAUUGGGAAGAACACCGGUGGCGAAGGCGGCUCACUGGCUCAUUACUGACGCUCAGGCGCGAUAGCGUGGGGAUCAAACAGG